rnacentral:rRNA from 1 species
CCUACGGUGAGCAGCAGUGAGGAAUAUUGGUCAAUGGGCGGGAGCCUGAACCAGCCAAGCCGCGUGAGGGAAGAAGGUACAGCGUAUCGUAAACCUCUUUUGUCAGGGAACAAAGGCGGGGACUAUUCCCCGGAUGAGGGUACCUUAAGAAAAAGCAUCGGCUAACUCCGUGCCAGCAGCCGCGGUAAUCCGGGGGUUGCUAGCGUUAUCCGGAUUUAUUGGGUUAAAUGGGUGCGCAGUCUGCCUGUUAAGUCAGCGUUAAAAGCCCGGGGCGCAACCCCGGCGAGCCGUGGAUACUGGCGGGCGGGAGUUGGAUAGAAGUACGAGGAAUGCGCGGUGUAGCGGUGAAAUGCUUAGAUAUCGCGCAGAACCCCGAUUGCGAAGGCAGCGUACCGGCUCGACACUGACGCUGAGGAACGAAAGCGUGGGUAUCGAACAGGAUUAGAUACCCCUGUAGUC